AAGACUGUACUUCACAGGAUCAUUUCUGUAGUCAGUCUUCUUUUCUUACUUUCACACUAACUGAAAGCCUUUAACUGU